rnacentral:tRNA from 2 species
CCCUUCUUAGCUCAGUUGGAAGAGCGUCAGACUGUAAGCGGUUGAGGAUUCAUCAUUCUUAGGAAUCUGAAGGUCUCUGGUUCGAUCCCGGAAGAAGGGA